GAUGAACGCUCGCUACAGGCUUAACACAUGCAAGUCGAGGGGAAACGAUGAGAGAGCUUGCUCUCUUAGUCGUCGACCGGCGCACGGGUGAGUAACGCGUAUCCAACCUGCCUCUGACCAAGGGAUAACCCGUCGAAAGUCGGACUAAUACCUUAUGCAGUCGUCGGAAGUCAUCUGAUGACGACGAAAGAUUUCAUCGGUGAGAGAUGGGGAUGCGUCUGAUUAGCUUGUUGGCGGGGUAACGGCCCACCAAGGCGACGAUCAGUAGGGGUUCUGAGAGGACGGUCCCCCACAUUGGAACUGAGACACGGUCCAAACUCCUACGGGAGGCAGCAGUGAGGAAUAUUGGUCAAUGGGCGUAAGCCUGAACCAGCCAAGUAGCGUGCAGGAUGCCGGCCCUAUGGGUUGUAAACUGCUUUUAUGAGGGGAUAACGUGAGGGACGUGUCCUUCAUUGCAGGUACCGAAUGAAUAAGGACCGGCUAAUUCCGUG
rnacentral:rRNA from 1 species